UGGACCUUGUACUAAUCGACCUUGUACAGCUCUUAUAUAUAUGUAUUGAAUUAAAAGCAUGUUCGUUAUUGAAGGGUAUACUUUGAGUUUCAAGACAAAAAGAACAAGAUGAAGUUGAUGCUAUUUGUCAUUUUGUUUGUGCUGACUGUUGUUUCCCUGGUCAUGGAGGCACAGAGUCAGAAUGGAGGUGAUCGUGUGAGACCCGGAGGACCACGUGUCCACCGUUAUUGUUGUCGAAGUAUUUUUUACCAUUGCUAUCAGUGGUGUACCAGAAGACUGCUCACGAAAGCAGAAAAAAUAGAAAAUAUGAUUCUGGGUGCACGUUCUUGAUUGUUAUCCAACGAAUAUGUAUAGCUGCAACAAUUGAUAAAGGACACAUACUAACUAUCAAAGGAUGCAUCAUAAAAAAUGUAAUGGAAAUAAAUAUGGUCAUCAAUUGUCUAUCAAUUUACUAAUAAACAACUAAUAUGUCCAUAA